GAUGAACGCUGGCGGCGUGCCUAAUACAUGCAAGUCGAGCGAACAGACGAGGAGCUUGCUCCUCUGACGUUAGCGGCGGACGGGUGAGUAACACGUGGAUAACCUACCUAUAAGACUGGGAUAACUUCGGGAAACCGGAGCUAAUACCGGAUAAUAUAUUGAACCGCAUGGUUCAAUAGUGAAAGACGGUUUUGCUGUCACUUAUAGAUGGAUCCGCGCCGCAUUAGCUAGUUGGUAAGGUAACGGCUUACCAAGGCGACGAUGCGUAGCCGACCUGAGAGGGUGAUCGGCCACACUGGAACUGGGACACGGUCCAGACUCCUACGGGAGGCAGCAGUAGGGAAUCUUCCGCAAUGGGCGAAAGCCUGACGGAGCAACGCCGCGUGAGGGAUGAAGGUCUUCGGAUCGUAAAACUCUGUUAUUAGGGAAGAACAAAUGUGUAAGUAACUAUGCACGUCUUGACGGUACCUAAUCAGAAAGCCACGGCUAACUACGUG
rnacentral:rRNA from 1 species